AGAAAGUCUAAGAAAACUUACAUGUGGCAUGCAUUAAUGGAUGUCCUGGGUACAGCAGCACAUUAUCCCGGUGUCUGUGAGUGUGUGGCACUUGUGGGGUCUCUGCAAAAGUCAGCACUGCUACCCUGCAUCUGGAGGCUCUUAACAAAGUGUUCCCUACAGAGGCAGUAACACAAGCCCUUCUGCAGCCUGCUCUCCACCCCCCACUUGGCAGAGAUAUCAUUUUCACAUUCAAAAGGAAGAAAGCAACUUUGAACCUUGUCUCUCUCACUCCAGCUGUGACACGAGGAUCGAGCUCUUCCCAGCUACCAGAAACUCGAACAUAAAGGCAGCAGAUGUGAAGAAAAAUGCAGUCCUUCAAAACACAAGCCACAUCCCCAGCUGAAACAGAAAGCAAGUCCCCAACUCUCCAGUGACGUAAGAUGAUCUCCCCUGUGUACGAAGAUUUUGGACAAAAAUUCAAGCAAACAAAAGUACAAAUAUUUGCCAUUUGCUUCUACAUUAUGGUGACAACAACGAUAUAACCCACAAAGGAAGGCAGAAGGGAGAAAAAUCACUGGAAAGAAGAAGAAGAAAGAAGUUUUCAGGGAAGUGGCAGAAACAUUUAUCAACUCAGUGACACACAAACCCUUGCUGGAUGACUUUGCAGCAGCAGUUGGACACUGUGCUAAGCAGACAUUGCCUGGUAUUCAUCCACUGUGGGGACUUGCAAAGCAUGACUGAAAAAGAUCACUUGGAAUGUCUGAAUGUAUUUGGAAAAACCUGAGCAGUAUAUCAGUUCAGUCUGAAGUAGAAAUACAGAAGCAUAAACCCGUGAAAAUAUCAUGGGGGAAUGAAAGGAAGAGAAGCAGAAACGUGUGUGCAAUUUCACUGAUUGCUUCCUCUGGGAAUAAAGAAGUUCAGCAGGUCCCUCAUCAAAUGCUUCCAGAAAUUGAAAUGAAUACAUCAGCAGUUUCCCAGUGUGUGCUUUAGUUCCCUGUGGACACCACCACUUUACAGCUUGUGACUCGAAGACAUUCGAGCUUGAACAGGUCUGGUUUACUUAACAUCUUGGAAAAAAUUCUUCCAAAACAUCACAGCACCUCGCAGAGAAUGAAGCUUCAGAUUGUUUUUAAUAAGAAAGUGCUGUUUUCCUAUUUUCUGGACAGGCAAAGUGAAUCACCAGGUUUAAGUACCUUUUUUCCCCAAGGCCUAGCAAUAAAGAAAAAUUAAGGGAUUCUCAUUUUCAGUCAUGUACUGGAAAACCCCUGGUUCAUGAGUUGCCCUCUUUCACCAGUACACAAGAAGCAGAAAAAAAACAUCACUCUUACAACAGACCUGUGGAUACAGAAAUGCUGCUAGCAAGGAUUUUCUUGCUAUUUUCUAAGCCCAUGAGAGACUUUUCUCUCUCCCAGAAGAGGUAGCAGAGUAUGUAAACAACCAAACACCUGCAGCCUUGAAAAGUCUUGUCUAUAGUACAGUAGAAAAAUAUUUUGACAUUGGAUGUUUUAGGAUUUUAGCCAAUCACCCCCAAGGGGUGGCUGAUCCUUUGUCCAAUUAGACUAUGAAGAAAAAGUCUAUAAAAGAGUUUGCAAAAUAAUUAAAUAAAUCAAUC
rnacentral:lncRNA from 13 species